GAUGAAGAACGCAGCGAAAUGCGAUAAGUAAUGUGAAUUGCAGAAUUCAGUGAAUCAUCGAAUCUUUGAACGCACAUUGCGCCCCUUGGUAUUCCGAGGGGCAUGCCUGUUCGAGCGUCAUUAUAACCCCUCAAGCUCAGCUUGGUGUUGGGGCCUGCUGCACUGGCAGCCCUUAAAAUCAGUGGCGGCGCCAUCUGGCUCUAAGCGUAGUAAUUCUUCUCGCUAUGGAGUCCUGGUGGAUGCUUGCCAUCAACCCCCAAUUUUUUUAUGGUUGACCUCGGAUCAGGUAGGGAUACCCGCUGAACUUAAGCAUAUCAAUAAGCGGAGGA
rnacentral:misc_RNA from 1 species